ACUCGAAUUUAUUUUGUAUUAUAUAUAAUAUAUAUAUAUAAAAAUUUGAUGUUAUAUUUGAAUUUGUAUUUUAAAAAUUUAGGUUUAAUAUAAUAUAUUUUGAAAUAUUAAAAAAAAAAAAUAAUUAUUUCGGGUUCAAAUUUUUGGGUUCGGAUUCGGGAUCGGGUUUCGAAUUUUUGAUCGGGUUCGAGUUUGGAUAUGGAUUUUUAAAAUCCGUCAGUUUCGAGUUCGGGUUCGGAUUCGAAUUUUUAAAAAUCCGCUCCGAAUCCGACCCGUUGACAUCUCUAGUCCGGUCGGGGUGUAAGUGGUUAGGAUAAACCCCAUUGGUAGGAUGGGGGGCUUUUUUUGCAAUUCGCCUCCUGAAAAAAAUUUAUUUUAAAAAUAGCCCAAUCAAACUUAAAUUUAUAAAAAUAGUUCUGCUCUUGCCAAAUUUGUAAAAAUUUAAAUUUGUAAAUUUGUAUAUUUUUUUUAGACACGGUGAAUGGUUCAUCGUGUUUAAUUUAACUAUCUGGUCCAGUCCGGCCCGCAUAGCACUGACGUGACACCUACGUGGUAGGGUCAGGGCCAUUUUUACAAAUUUAAAUUUACUAGGGUUAUUUUUAAAAUAAAUUUUUUUUAGGGGGCUAAUUACAAAAAAGGU
rnacentral:lncRNA from 1 species